CGAGGGAAAGUAUAAAGUUGUACAGUGGGUUUGGGACUCAUUAGUCCCUGGUGGCAGGGUCUCUCGU
rnacentral:tRNA from 1 species